AUGCAAGUCGAACGAGAGAGAGGGAGCUUGCUUCCUUGAUCGAGUGGCGAACGGGUGAGUAACGCGUGAGGAACCUGCCUCAAAGAGGGGGACAACAGUUGGAAACGACUGCUAAUACCGCAUAAGCCCACGACCCGGCAUCGGGAAGAGGGAAAAGGAGCAAUCCGCUUUGAGAUGGCCUCGCGUCCGAUUAGCUAGUUGGUGAGGUAACGGCCCACCAAGGCGACGAUCGGUAGCCGGACUGAGAGGUUGAACGGCCACAUUGGGACUGAGACACGGCCCAGACUCCUACGGGAGGCAGCAGUGGGGAAUAUUGCACAAUGGGGGAAACCCUGAUGCAGCGACGCCGCGUGGAGGAAGAAGGUCUUCGGAUUGUAAACUCCUGUUGUUGAGGAAGAUAAUGACGGUACUCAACAAGGAAGUGACGGCUAACUACGUGCCAGCAGCCGCGGUAAAACGUAGGUCACAAGCGUUGUCCGGAAUUACUGGGUGUAAAGGGAGCGCAGGCGGGCGAUCAAGUUGGAAGUGAAAUCCAUGGGCUCAACCCAUGAACUGCUUUCAAAACUGGUCGUCUUGAGUAGUGCAGAGGUAGGCGGAAUUCCCGGUGUAGCGGUGGAAUGCGUAGAUAUCGGGAGGAACACCAGUGGCGAAGGCGGCCUACUGGGCACCAACUGACGCUGAGGCUCGAAAGUGUGGGUAGCAAACAGGAUUAGAUACCCUGGUAGUCCACACCGUAAACGAUGAUUACUAGGUGUUGGGAGAUUGACCCUCUCAGUGCCGCAGUUAACACAAUUAUGUAAU
rnacentral:rRNA from 1 species